GAUGAACGCUAGCGGCAGGCCUAAUACAUGCAAGUCGAGCGGAGUCAGCAAUGGCUUAGCGGUGAACGGGUGCGUAACGCGUAUGUAACCUGCCCAAGGGAGGGGGACAACAUCGGGAAACUGGUGCUAAUACCCCAUGAUGCAGCGGACCCGCAUGGGUAUAGUUGUUAAAGGAGCAAUCCGCCUUUGGAGGGGCAUGCGUCCGAUUAGCUAGUUGGCGGGGUAACGGCCCACCAAGGCGACGAUCGGUAACUGGUCUUAGAGGAUGAUCAGUCACACUGGCACUGAGACACGGGCCAGACUCCUACGGGAGGCAGCAGUGGGGAAUCUUGCGCAAUGCGCGAAAGCGUGACGCAGCAACGCCGCGUGGGGGAAGAAGGCCUUCGGGUUGUAAACCCCUUUCAGGAGGGACGAAGGUCAGGCCGUUAAUAGCGGUCCUGACUGACGGUACCUCCAGAAGAAGCCCCGGCUAACUACGUGCCAGCCGCCGCGGUAAUAC
rnacentral:rRNA from 1 species